AGGGCUGUAGGUAAGUGGUAUACCGAGGCUCUCCAAAAGCCCAGUCGGAGGUUCGAUUCCUCCCAGCCCUG
rnacentral:tRNA from 1 species